UACAGUUUUUAUGGUCAUGGCAGCCUGUGU
rnacentral:piRNA from 1 species